rnacentral:rRNA from 1 species
AUUGAACGCUGGCGGCAGGCCUAACACAUGCAAGUCGAGCGGAUGAAGGGAGCUUGCUCCAGGAUUCAGCGGCGGACGGGUGAGUAAUGCCUAGGAAUCUGCCUGGUAGUGGGGGAUAACGUCCGGAAACGGGCGCUAAUACCGCAUACGUCCUGAGGGAGAAAGUGGGGGAUCUUCGGACCUCACGCUAUCAGAUGAGCCUAGGUCGGAUUAGCUAGUUGGUGGGGUAAAGGCCUACCAAGGCGACGAUCCGUAACUGGUCUGAGAGGAUGAUCAGUCACACUGGAACUGAGACACGGUCCAGACUCCUACGGGAGGCAGCAGUGGGGAAAAUUGGACAAUGGGCGAAAGCCUGAUCCAGCCAUGCCGCGUGUGUGAAGAAGGUCUUCGGAUUGUAAAGCACUUUAAGUUGGGAGGAAGGGCAGUAAGUUAAUACCUUGCUGUUUUGACGUUACCAACAGAAUAAGCACCGGCUAACUUCGUG